AGCGCAGUUGGUAGCGCGCCUGCUUUGGGAGCAGGAGACCCGGGGUUCGGACCGCAGUUCCCGGAAUGU
rnacentral:tRNA from 1 species